CAAAGAGUCAGAAAUAACUGAGCUACUAAGCACGUAUGCACACACGCAUUUUAUAUAGAACAAGCUGGAAAUGGUGCCAAGAGUACGGGAAGAUGCCAAGAUGGCAGAAGCUUUUGAGUACCAAGAUCUUAUGGACACGUGGAGGCCAUGGAGGAUUGGAAAAGUUGCGAUGAUGCAGCUGUUGAGAAACAGGAGGUGGGAAGUGGGACCUAGACCUCGUAUCCAGGGUUCCUUACCGAUCUCACACCUGCUUCCGGAGCCUCCCCAUGGUGAUGACAGUAGGAAGGGAAAAAGAGUGAAUGGAAAAGGUAUUCAAGAUUCUAGAAUUCACUGUGGCUUGAGAAGCAUAAAGGGCUGCAUAGUACCUGGCUUAGUGCUGGAUGAUUGUGGAAAAGCCUCCUGGGGUUGA
rnacentral:lncRNA from 1 species